UAGAGAUGAUGAUAUACCAACUUCAGGUCCGUGUUUUUGAUUAACCGUGAUAAUACUGAAGUUCUGAUCUA
rnacentral:snoRNA from 1 species